CCGCGUGAGUGAUGAAGGUUUUCGGAUCGUAAAGCUCUGUUGUUAGGGAAGAACAAGUGCCGUUCAAAUAGGGCGGCACCUUGACGGUACCUAACCAGAAAGCCACGGCUAACUACGUGCCAGCAGCCGCGGUAAUACGUAGGUGGCAAGCGUUGUCCGGAAUUAUUGGGCGUAAAGGGCUCGCAGGCGGUUUCUUAAGUCUGAUGUGAAAGCCCCCGGCUCAACCGGGGAGGGUCAUUGGAAACUGGGGAACUUGAGUGCAGAAGAGGAGAGUGGAAUUCCACGUGUAGCGGUGAAAUGCGUAGAGAUGUGGAGGAACACCAGUGGCGAAGGCGACUCUCUGGUCUGUAACUGACGCUGAGGAGCGAAAGCGUGGGGAGCGAACAGGAUUAGAUACCCUGGUAGUCCACGCCGUAAACGAUGAGUGCUAAGUGUUAGGGGGUUUCCGCCCCUUAGUGCUGCAGCUAACGCAUUAAGCACUCCGCCUGGGGAGUACGGUCGCAAGACUGAAACUCAAAGGAAUUGACGGGGGCCCGCACAAGCGGUGGAGCAUGUGGUUUAAUUCGAAGCAACGCGAAGAACCUUACCAGGUCUUGACAUCCUCUGACAAUCCUAGAGAUAGGACGUCCCCUUCGGGGGCAGAGUGACAGGUGGUGCAUGGUUGUCGUCAGCUCGUGUCGUGAGAUGUUGGGUUAAGUCCCGCAACGAGCGCAACCCUUGAUCUUAGUUGCCAGCAUUCAGUUGGGCACUCUAAGGUGACUGCCGGUGACAAACCGGAGGAAGGUGGGGAUGACGUCAAAUCAUCAUGCCCCUUAUGACCUGGGCUACACACGUGCUACAAUGGACAGAAC
rnacentral:rRNA from 1 species